GUGUUUCUUUUGCAUAUAACCUCGUUAAUUUUCUCAGUUCGUACAAUCACACGGGGCUACAGACACAUGACCUUUUGUGUUUUGGACUGUGACCACAAUGGUAUUGGACAUCAAUAAGAAUUUCAUAUUGGUGAAUCUCGAUUUAUGAUCAUUGCUCACUGAUAAAAUUAAAAUCUUAUAUUUUGUACUUGAUGUUUUAAAAAUAAAAUACUCAAUAAUUUAUCUGCUAAAAAGAAAAAUUACAAAAUAAUGGAAUUUAGGAUUUUAAUAUUUAAAAGUCAUUAGGAAUGUUGCUUGCUGAAUGUUAAUGCGAAGUCUUUUAGAAAUAUGUUUUAGCGCGUUGUAUAAUAUUAACAUUAAUUUCUUUUCAGACGCGUGCCAUUUAUCUUGCGUGGACUAAUAGAAACAAUCGAGUUCAAAGUAAUUGAUACACGAGAUCAAUAUUAACAAAAAAUUAACAAGGUGAACCUCUACAUGCAGGCGCCUUUCGAAGCGCAGGAUAUGAUGCAGUUCUGAGGGAGAAAUGGAUCUAAUUUUACCGCUAAAUGCACUGAAUCCCUGUCCCUCUGAAAUUUAUUGUCACGUAUAUCGGCGAAAAUUCUCCCUCGUUUAGAGUGUGAUGCAGAUAGGAGCUCCCUUUCUUUCUUUUUCUUGCUCUAUUCAGCCUCUUUAUGUCGAGAGGCCUCGUGAUCGUGUCACGAGAGAGCGAAUUGAUGAAAUCAGAAAUGCAGAUCACGACGGCACAAUUGGGAUUAAAUGUAUCGUCUGUGGUUGAGGGUGGAAACAAGGAAAAAAUGAGAUCUCGCAUCCCUUUUAGGGCAGCCAGGGUGAUAAGCGGAUUUUUGAUCGAUCUUUUUCCUUUAGUAGACAAUAGUCACAUUGGUCAUAGCAACUUUUUAUGCUGAAGCUAAUGUGGGAAGAUAAUAUUCUGUGAGUUUUUUUUUUUUUUAAUAUCAUGAUACGAUAUUAUAUUAUGAUACUAUAUAAUAUGAUAUUAUUUUUUAUAUAAUCGUAGGUAAUUGCUUUUAGAAUAUACUUUAAUAUUUAAAACGCGUUUAAAGAGGCCGAAGGGACUUCGUUCCAUUUUAAUCCCCUUUAAGAGACCCAUUUUGGCCCUAGACAGAAAGGGAACACUCUUUGCACCUACUCUUUGCUGUCAGAGUGCGGACUAGCCUCCAUUUUCUCUACUCUAAAAGCCUUCUUGUAACAAAAAGCUACAAGUAUAGCCUGAAAAUAUUUCAAGCAAUCCUACUUGAACCUUACAUUAGAAGUAAUACUUAGAAAACCAGUAAAUCCUUCAUUUUCCAUCAUAUACCCUUAUCUUAUGAUUAUCGUUUAAAACUGAUCUCUCUCUUUUCAGAAGUCCAAUAUAAAAUCUGAAUAAAACUCUAGGAUACUUUUUUGGUCCACUGUCAUUCGAUAUUUCUUAGAAGAAUUUUAUAAGGAAUGUUCCCAUAGCUGACGGUCUUUUUCUCACGUUUUCCGCUCGAGAAGAUACGGUCAUUCAGCCGCGACUCAUUUCGUCGUUUAAUCCUACAUGCACUUGACUCGAGAGACCGCGUGCAACCUGUGCCCUAUAUUCGCAUGGGGGUAACUGAACCCCAGAAACACCCUCAAGGGUCCAGCGAGGGCUACAACGUUUAAAAUAAAUUUCAAUUCAGAGCCAGAAGGGGUGUGUAUCACUUUCACUAGAACUCUGUCGUGUUUAACGAGCUAUUGAUAUCUUCCACCCACCAGAACUCCCCUCUGUAGAGUGGUUAGGAUAUAUACGUAUGCAAGCUACGUACUCUAGUCGUUAGCGGCCCCUUUCCUGGCCCCCUUUUUUGACCAGGAAAACCGCCACAUGUGUGUGAUAUGUGUUAAAGCCCAGGCGAGAUCUACAGUGAUUCCAUUCUAAAGUCUUGCCCUAUGGGAAAGUUCAGGUGCUCCGGUGGUUGUGGUUAAACCAGAAAAUUAGGUUCACGGUGAACUAGCGAUGUAGGGCGAUCGAUUGUGGGAAGUUUUGCAAGAAGCUUGACCAGUCUUCCCUUAUGGGACAAACUGUAUCGAGUGUUACGCCUGAUGGAAUUGCAUUCAGUGAAAUUUUAUGGUGUAUAGAGAAGCAAGUAUUUUUAGCAUAUUUAUUCGAAGGUAGCCUGAAUACGGGUAAUAUUUCUUUCAUUCUUUACGGUGUCCGGGCCAGUUUCCUGUCACCUUCUUUUUAAAAAAUCGUAGCGAGGAGAUGAGGCGAUUAAUUCCAGACAUUUUUCUUCAGAACAGUGCAGUUUCCUGCACGAACAUCAUCGACUAUAGAAAUCCAAGGCGACAAAGCACAGGAAUUCUUUGAAAGGACAAAACAGUUCGAGCCUCAGAUUUCUAUCCUGCUCGUCGUGAAUGGGAAACAUGUGAAAAAGGGGCCAGGAAGUGCGUACACCCACGAGGAUCCAUUGCGACACAAUAAACGCCGCUGACCGCGUUUUUCUUACUUUUAUCCUACGUUCGUUCAUCGAAGUUUACGUUUCAAUCUUUAACGCAAAAUUAGAAUUCAUUCAUUGAGAAAAACUUCUAUCAAUUAGAAAACUCUAUACUCUAAAUUAUUCCUUUAUAAACAGAUUCAGUUAUGUAUAAUUAAAAAGCCACAAAUGUAAGAACACCAAAGAUAAUUAACAAUGGAGAAAAUUCCACGUACCUAUUACACAUACAACCGAUUCACUAGGGCGAUUAUACCCUGGCAGAUUCAUGGCGGCGAUAUCUAACAAUAAGUUCUAAAAGAAUCUUAUUGACCUGUUAAGAUACGAGAGAGAAAGAAACCGUGGCAGCUGGCCUGGAAGAUCGUUGCGGAUCCUCCUCCUUUAUAGAAUCCUAUAUAAAUCGUGGACCGUGCCUUUCUACGAGGAAACACGUGCCAGCCACAUGUUGCAUAAAAGGAAUCGUCAGUGGUCCUUUCGAAUAUCCAUAGCGUAAAGUCGCAAUCACAAAGGAGCUUUAGAACCCAUAAAUGAUUCUCUUUCGACCGAAGGAUACGAAACAGCGGCAGAUGUUUUACGUCUUUACCUCUUCAAACAUGUCGAAUUCGAUAUGUACACGCGUUUCGGAAGGACAUGAGAUAACAAUAGUUGUUUCGUCUUCCGAAGCUUUGGAGAAGCUUAGUUAAUCGUUAAAAAACUUUCGAUAUUUAUAGUAUUAUCAUUUUGAUUUAAAGAAAAAUUCUUUGUGCCAAGAUAUUGCUUAGAAUAUUUUCAAGUACAAAAUUUGUAACUCUAAUUAAGGUUGUAUAAUUUUCAAUUCGAAUUUCAUAUGAAUGUGCAAUAUGAGUUGUAUUAACAUUCUGCAAAACCUAAAUUUUAUUGUAUUUGCAAUAAAGGCUAUAUUCUAAAGUGUUUGAAGAAAUAGUUUUUAGUCAUCUUUUUAGUUGGCAAAGAAAUCAUGAUUGUUCACGCACUCACGUUAAGAAAUGGAUUUCAUGCAGGGCCAACAGGCUGGCUGCGCAUGCAUCUAAUCGCACAACCUACGAUUAUGGAACAGAACGAUUCUUAAGAACGAACACGUGGUUGUGACCAUCUGUUAGCAUCCUGCUUCGUUCAUCCUACCCUAAGUUAGAGCUACCCUUUUCGCCUUGCUAGUUCUUUCCUCCUGCACCUAGAAGAUCGACACAUAAGCAUCAAUCUUUUCAAGGCUAUUUGAUUUCUUAAACUCCAAGGUAAUCGUACUUAUAUUUUCAAUCUUUCUCCAAAAGAGAAGAAAAUGAUAUAUUAUAAUUAUAACAAAUUUUUAGGACAAAUUGAGAGCUGUUUAAAUUACAUCGUAUAACAAUAAAGUAAUGGACUAUUAACUAGAAGAGAAUUAUAGAAUACAGAAGAAUAAAAAAUGCACAGAAUAGAAUAAAUCAAUAACAUAACACAAUAACAGAACAGAAGAAAUCCUGAAUCCCGAAAAUUAAUCCUCAUAAAAUACCAAAAGCAAUUUAUAUCGAGUUUCUCACAGAAGUUUAAACACUAAGGAUCUCAGCUUCUUAUCACCUUCACCAACUCUUCAUGAAACCACUACAAGGAACACAAGGCGUAAACUUUCCCAGCAUGCAAUACGCUCAAAUAUUUAGUUUAGGGGGCGACAUCGUGCGCUUUUAGCUGAGAGUCAGAGAUUUUAAGAGGACACCGUCGACGACUGGAAUAACAUUUCCACGGAGGAAUAACCGUCACAUACGAGUCAAAGUUGUAAAAGCUAGAAUAUCGCGGAGAUCGUUUAGGCGGGCCGCUUUGUGUCCUCGGUAAAAGGUGUUCCAAGCAGGUAAAACAUUCCUAUUGAAACGGUUCUACCUGACCCACCUGGCUUUCACGCUACAUUUUCGGCUCGACAACAGUUUCUCCCCAUGCAUAUGGGUAUCAAAAAAGGACUAGCUACAUAAAACGCAGAAUCUCCGAUAGCUAGAUCAAAAAUAUGUCGCGAACAAUCUGUACAUAUAUUGAAAACAAAAUUUUCGUUAAUUACACUGAUUAGAUAAAAAAAUUGAAGUAUCUUUAAUUUAUAAUAUUCAAGCACGAGUGUAUCUUUGAUAGUUAAUAGCGCAUAUAUACAUAUUUGAUUGGUCGACGAAUUAUCUUCAAAGAAAAUUCGAAGGGAAGUCCUAAGUUGGCUGAAAGUAUUGGAGAAGGUUCUCGAAAUCACAGCUUAAGAACCCAAUAUCGAAGGCUUUCGGAAAAGCUUGGAUAU